GACGAACGCUGGCGGCGUGCUUAACACAUGCAAGUCGAACGGAAAGGCCCUGCUUUUGUGGGGUGCUCGAGUGGCGAACGGGUGAGUAACACGUGAGUAACCUGCCCUUGACUUUGGGAUAACUUCAGGAAACUGGGGCUAAUACCGGAUAGGAUCUCCUGCUGCAUGGUGGGGGUUGGAAAGUUUCGGCGGUUGGGGAUGGACUCGCGGCUUAUCAGCUUGUUGGUGGGGUAGUGGCUUACCAAGGCUUUGACGGGUAGCCGGCCUGAGAGGGUGACCGGCCACAUUGGGACUGAGAGACGGCCCAGACUCCUACGGGAGGGAGCAGUGGGGAAUAUUGCACAAUGGGCGGAAGCCUGAUGCAGCAACGCCGCGUGCGGGAUGACGGCCUUCGGGUUGUAAGCCGCUUUCGCCUGUGACGAAGCGUGAGUGACGGUAAUGGGUAAAGAAGCACCGGCUAACUACGU
rnacentral:rRNA from 1 species